GCGGGCGUAGCUCAGUGGCUAGAGCAUCACGUUGCCAACGUGAAAGUCGUGGGUUCGAAUCCCAUCGCCCGCU
rnacentral:tRNA from 1 species